AUUGAACGCUGGCGGCAUGCUUUACACAUGCAAGUCGAACGGUAACAGGCCUUCGGGUGCUGACGAGUGGCGAACGGGUGAGUAAUGCAUCGGAACGUACCCAGAGGUGGGGGAUAACGCAGCGAAAGCUGUGCUAAUACCGCAUGUGAUCUGAGGAUGAAAGCGGGGGACCGAGCAGCAAUGUUUGGCCUCGCGCCUUUGGAGCGGCCGAUGUCGGAUUAGCUAGUUGGUGGGGUAAAGGCCUACCAAGGCGACGAUCCGUAGCUGGUCUGAGAGGACGACCGGCCACACUGGGACUGAGACACGGCCCAGACUCCUACGGGAGGCAGCAGUGGGGAAUUGUGGACAAUGGGCGCAAGCCUGAUCCAGCAAUGCCGCGUGCGGGAAGAAGGCCUUCGGGUUGUAAACCGCUUUUGGCAGGAACGAAACGGUGUCCGCUAAUACCGGGCGCUAAUGACGGUACCUGCAGAAUAAGCACCGGCUAACUACGUG
rnacentral:rRNA from 1 species